GGGUGGAUUAGUGGCGAACGGGUGAGUAACACGUGAGUAACCUGCCCCCGACUUUGGGAUAAGCCCGGGAAACUGGGUCUAAUACCGGAUAUGACUUCCUGCCGCAUGGUGGGUUGUUGAAAGAUUUAUCGGUGGGGGAUGGACUCGCGGCCUAUCAGCUUGUUGGUGAGGUAAUGGCUCACCAAGGCGACGACGGGUAGCCGGCCUGAGAGGGUGACCGGCCACACUGGGACUGAGACACGGCCCAGACUCCUACGGGAGGCAGCAGUGGGGAAUAUUGCACAAUGGGCGGAAGCCUGAUGCAGCGACGCCGCGUGAGGGAUGACGGCCUUCGGGUUGUAAACCUCUUUCAGUAGGGAAGAAGCGAAAGUGACGGUACCUGCAGAAGAAGCGCCGGCUAACUACGUGCCAGCAGCCGCGGUAAUACGUAGGGCGCAAGCGUUAUCCGGAUUUAUUGGGCGUAAAGAGCUCGUAGGCGGUUUGUCGCGUCUGCCGUGAAAGUCCGAGGCUCAACCUCGGAUCUGCGGUGGGUACGGGCAGACUAGAGUGAUGUAGGGGAGACUGGAAUUCCUGGUGUAGCGGUGAAAUGCGCAGAUAUCAGGAGGAACACCGAUGGCGAAGGCAGGUCUCUGGGCAUUUACUGACGCUGAGGAGCGAAAGCAUGGGGAGCG
rnacentral:rRNA from 1 species